GUGCCAGCCGCCGCGGUAAGACGAGGGGUCCUAGCGUUGUUCGGAAUCACUGGGCGUAAAGCGCAUGUAGGCGGCUUUUCAAGUCAGGUGUGAAAGCCCACGGCUUAACCGUGGAAGUGCAUUUGAAACUGUAAAGCUUGAGUAUGGGAGAGGAUGGUAGAAUUCCUGGUGUAGUGGUGAAAUACGUAGAUAUCAGGAGGAAUACCGGUGGCGAAGGCGGCCAUCUGGCCUAAUACUGACGCUGAGAUGCGAAAGUGCGGGGAUCAAACAGGAUUAGAUACCCUGGUAGUCC
rnacentral:rRNA from 1 species